AUGGUGGAGGAGCUCAUUGACACAUCCAACUGGACUUGGAAACAUGAGGUGGUUUGGGAGAUUUUCAUUGCCCCGGAUGCUGAGGCCAUUCUUAAUAUUCCUAUUCGGCAAGGGGGAGGGGAUGAUUACCUUGCUUGGGCAUUCGAACGAUCAGGCAACUACACUGUGAAGUUGGCGUACCGUGCUCUUGUGAAUCAGAACGAGCGUUUGGCUCUAGAUGAAGGGACGGCUACCGGUACCUCCAAUGAUGAACAACAGAUGUGGAAAGCCUUGUGGAAAUUGAAUGUUAUCCCAAAAGUGAGAGUCUUU
rnacentral:rRNA from 1 species